rnacentral:rRNA from 1 species
AACUGAUUUGAAGAAGCUUGCUCAGAUAUGACGAUGGACAUUGCAAAGAAGUGGCGAACGGGUGAGUAACACGUGGGAAACCUACCUCUUAGCAGGGGAUAACAUUUGGAAACAGAUGCUAAUACCGUAUAACAAUGACAACCGCAUGGUUGUUAUUUAAAAGAUGGUUCUGCUAUCACUAAGAGAUGGUCCCGCGGUGCAUUAGCUAGUUGGUAAGGUAAUGGCUUACCAAGGCGAUGAUGCAUAGCCGAGUUGAGAGACUGAUCGGCCACAAUGGGACUGAGACACGGCCCAUACUCCUACGGGAGGCAGCAGUAGGGAAUCUUCCACAAUGGGCGAAAGCCUGAUGGAGCAACGCCGCGUGUGUGAUGAAGGGUUUCGGCUCGUAAAACACUGUUGUAAGAGAAGAAUGACAUUGAGAGUAACUGUUCAAUGUGUGACGGUAUCUUACCAGAAAGGAACGGCUAAAUACGUGCCAGCAGCCGCGGUAAUACGUAUGUUCCAAGCGUUAUCCGGAUUUAUUGGGCGUAAAGCGAGCGCAGACGGUUAUUUAAGUCUGAAGUGAAAGCCCUCAGCUCAACUGAGGAAUUGCUUUGGAAACUGGAUGACUUGAGUGCAGUAGAGGAAAGUGGAACUCCAUGUGUAGCGGUGAAAUGCGUAGAUAUAUGGAAGAACACCAGUGGCGAAGGCGGCUUUCUGGACUGUAACUGACGUUGAGGCUCGAAAGUGUGGGUAGCAAACAGGAUUAGAUACCCUGGUAGUCCACACCGUAAACGAUGAGUGCUAGGUGUUUGAGGGUUUCCGCCCUUAAGUGCCGCAGCUAACGCAUUAAGCACUCCGCCUGGGGAGUACGACCGCAAGGUUGAAACUCAAAGGAAUUGACGGGGACCCGCACAAGCGGUGGAGCAUGUGGUUUAAUUCGAAGCAACGCGAAGAACCUUACCAGGUCUUGACAUCCCUUGACAACUCCAGAGAUGGAGUGUUCCCUUCGGGGACAAGGUGACAGGUGGUGCAUGGUUGUCGUCAGCUCGUGUCGUGAGAUGUUGGGUUAAGUCCCGCAACGAGCGCAACCCUUAUUACUAGUUGCCAGCAUUCAGUUGGGCACUCUAGUGAGACUGCCGGUGACAAACCGGAGGAAGGUGGGGAUGACGUCAAAUCAUCAUGCCCCUUAUGACCUGGGCUACACACGUGCUACAAUGGCGUAUACAACGAGUUGCCAACCCGCGAGGGUGAGCUAAUCUCUUAAAGUACGUCUCAGUUCGGAUUGUAGGCUGCAACUCGCCUACAUGAAGUCGGAAUCGCUAGUAAUCGCGGAUCAGCACGCCGCGGUGAAUACGUUCCCGGGUCUUGUACACACCGCCCGUCACACCAUGAGAGUUUGUAACACCCAAAGCCGGUGGGGUAACCUUCGGGAGCCAGCCGUCUAAGUGGGACA